rnacentral:rRNA from 1 species
GUGGAUUAGAUACCCUUGUAGUCCACGCCGUAAACGAUGGAUGCUUGGUGUGGGGAUCAAUAAGGAUCUCCGUGCCGCAGCUAACGCAGUAAGCAUCCCGCCUGGGGAGUACGGUCGCAAGACUAAAACUCAAAGGAAUUGACGGGGGCCCGCACAAGCGGUGGAGUAUGUGGUUUAAUUCGACGCAACGCGAAGAACCUUACCUGGGCUUGACAUCCCGCGCCCGCCCUGGAAACAGGGUUUUCCCUUCGGGGACGCGGAGACAGGUGCUGCACGGCCGUCGUCAGCU